rnacentral:rRNA from 1 species
GCUUACCAUGCAAGUCGAACGAGAAAGCCCUUCGGGGCAAGUAAAGUGGCGACCUGGUGAGUAAUGCACAAGAAUCUGCCUUUCAGUGAAGAAUACCCCUGAGAAAUUAGGGUUAAUGCUGCAUAGUCCCGGCUUGCCGGGUAAAGAUGGCCUCUUGCUGUCGCUGAAAGAUGAGCUUGUGUCCUAUUAGUUUGUUGGUGGGGUAAUGGCCUACCAAGGCGAAGAUGGGUAGCCGGCCUGAGAGGGUGUACGGCCACAUUGGGACUGAGAUACGGCCCAAACUCCUACGGGAGGCAGCAGUGGGGAAUAUUGCGCAAUGGACGAAAGUCUGACGCAGCGACGCCGCGUGGAGGAUGAAGGCCUUCGGGUCGUAAACUUCUGUUAAGUGGGAAGAAAUACCAAGAAGUAAUAUGUCUUGGGGCUGACGGUACCACUAGAGAAAGCACCGGCAAACCUCGUGCCAGCAGCCGCGGUAAUACGAGGGGUGCUAGCGUUAUUCGGAAUUACUGGGCGUAAAGAACGCGUAGGCGGUUUAUUAAGUUGAUUGUAAAAUCCCUUGGCUCAACUGAGGGCUCGCGGUCAAAACUGGUAGGCUAGAGUACAAGAGAGAGAAGUGGAAUUCUCGGAGUAGCGGUAAAAUGCGUAGAUCUCGAGAGGAACACCGAUUGCGAAGGCAGCUUCUUGGCUUGUUACUGACGCUGAGGCGUGAAAGCGUGGGGAGCAAACAGGAUUAGAUACCCUGGUAGUCCACGCCGUAAACGAUGAUCACUAGUGUCGGCUUCGCUUGCGAGGCCGGUGUUGUAGCUAACGCGUUAAGUGAUCCGCCUGGGGAGUACGGUCGCAAGAUUAAAACUCAAGAAUUGACGGGGGUCCGCACAAGCGGUGGACAUGUGGUUUAAUUCGACACUACGCGAGGAACCUUACCUGGACUUGACAUGUAACUGCUACCGGUAGAAUACUGGGUUCUGUAGCUUGCUAUAGACGGUUACACAGUGCUGCAUG